CAGUCGCCGCGGUAAUACGUAGGGUGCAAGCGUUAAUCGGAAUUACUGGGCGUAAAGCGUGCGCAGGCGGUUAUAUAAGACAGAUGUGAAAUCCCCGGGCUCAACCUGGGAACUGCAUUUGAAACUGGCAGGCUAGAGUCUUGUAGAGGGGGGUAGAAUUCCAGGUGUAGCGGUGAAAUGCGUAGAGAUCUGGAGGAAUACCGGUGGCGAAGGCGGCCCCCUGGACAAAGACUGACGCUCAGGUGCGAAAGCGUGGGGAGCAAACAGGAUUAGAUACCCGCGUAGUCCCUGUCUCUUAUAA
rnacentral:rRNA from 1 species